GUAGUCAUAUGCUUGUCUCAAAGAUUAAGCCAUGCAUGUCUAAGUAUAAACAAUUUUAUACUGUGAAACUGCGAAUGGCUCAUUAAAUCAGUUAUCGUUUAUUUGAUAGUACCUUACUACUUGGAUAACCGUAGUAAAUCUAGAGCUAAUACAUGCUACCAAACCCGACUUCUCGGAAGGGUUGUAUUUAUUAGAUACAAAACCAAUGCGGGGGAGCGAUCUCCUGGACAAUUGGCGAUUCAUAGUAACUUCGCGAAUCGAAUGGCUUCACGCCGUCGAUGAAUCAUUCAAAUUUCUGCCCUAUCAACUUUCGAUGGUAGGAUAGGGGCCUACCAUGGUUGUCACGGGUAACGGAGAAUUAGGGUUCGAUUCCGGAGAGGGAGCCUGAGAAAUGGCUACCACAUCCAAGGAAGGCAGCAGGCGCGCAAAUUACCCAAUCCCAAUACGGGGAGGUAGUGACAAUAAAUAACAAUGGAGGGCUUUUACAAGUCUUCCAAUUGGAAUGAGUACAACUUAAAUCCCUUAACGAGUAUCAAUUGGAGGGCAAGUCUGGUGCCAGCA
rnacentral:rRNA from 1 species